AGAGUUUGAUCAUGGCUCAGAACGAACGCUGGCGGCAGGCUUAACACAUGCAAGUCGAACGCUCGUAGCAAUACGGGAGUGGCAGACGGGUGAGUAACGCGUGGGAACAUACCCUCCGGUUCGGAAUAGCUCAGGGAAACUUGGAUUAAUACCGGAUACGGCUGAGAGGCGAAAGAUUUAUCGCCGGAGGAUUGGCCCGCGUUCGAUUAGCUAGUUGGUGAGGUAAUGGCUCACCAAGGCUAUGAUCGAUAGCUGGUCUGAGAGGAUGAUCAGCCACAUUGGGACUGAGACACGGCCCAAACUCCUACGGGAGGCAGCAGUGGGGAAUAUUGGACAAUGGGCGCAAGCCUGAUCCAGCCAUGCCGCGUGAGUGAUGACGGCCUUAGGGUUGUAAAGCUCUUUCGCUCGGGACGAUAAUGACGGUACCGAGAUAAGAAGCCCCGGCUAACUUCGUGCCAGCAGCCGCGGUAAUACGAAGGGGGCUAGCGUUGUUCGGAAUUACUGGGCGUAAAGCGCGUGUAGGCGGGUCUUUAAGUCAGGGGUGAAAUGCCAGGGCUCAACCUUGGAACUGCCUUUGAUACUGGAGACCUUGAGUCCGGGAGAGGUGAGUGGAAUUGCGAGUGUAGAGGUGAAAUUCGUAGAUAUUCGCAAGAACACCAGUGGCGAAGGCGGCUCACUGGCCCGGAACUGACGCUGAGACGCGAAAGCGUGGGGAGCAAACAGGAUUAGAUACCCUAGUAGUCC
rnacentral:rRNA from 1 species